rnacentral:hammerhead_ribozyme from 1 species
CUAAAGCUGAUGAGUCCCAAACAGAACGAAACGCGCGUUCUUGAU